rnacentral:rRNA from 1 species
UACGAAGGGGGCUAGCGUUGCUCGGAAUCACUGGGCGUAAAGGGUGCGUAGGCGGGUUUUUAAGUCAGGGGUGAAAUCCCGAGGCUCAACCUCGGAACUGCCUUUGAUACUGGGGAUCUGGAGUCCGGGAGAGGUGAGCGGAACUGCGAGUGUAGAGGUGAAAUUCGUAGAUAUUCGCAAGAACACCAGUGGCGAAGGCGGCUCACUGGCCCGGAACUGACGCUGAGGUGCGAAAGCGUGGGGAGCAAACAGG